GGUUAAGCGACUAAGCGUACACGGUGGAUGCCCCGGCAGUCAGAGGCGAUGAAGGACGUGCUAAUCUGCGAUAAGCGUCGGUAAGGUGAUAUGAACCGUUAUAACCGGCGAUUUCCGAAUGGGGAAACCCAGUGUGUUUCGACACACUAUCAUUAACUGAAUCCAUAGGUUAAUGAGGCGAACCGGGGGAACUGAAACAUCUAAGUACCCCGAGGAAAAGAAAUCAACCGAGAUUCCCCCAGUAGCGGCGAGCGAACGGGGAGCAGCCCAGAGCCUGAAUCAGUGUGUGUGUUAGUGGAAGCGUCUGGAAAGGCGCGCGAUACAGGGUGACAGCCCCGUACACAAAAAUGCACAUGCUGUGAGCUCGAUGAGUAGGGCGGGACACGUGGUAUCCUGUCUGAAUAUGGGGGGACCAUCCUCCAAGGCUAAAUACUCCUGACUGACCGAUAGUGAACCAGUACCGUGAGGGAAAGGCGAAAAGAACCCCGGCGAGGGGAGUGAAAAAGAACCUGAAACCGUGUACGUACAAGCAGUGGGAGCACGCUUAGGCGUGUGACUGCGUACCUUUUGUAUAAUGGGUCAGCGACUUAUAUUCUGUAGCAAGGUUAACCGAAUAGGGGAGCCGAAGGGAAACCGAGUCUUAACUGGGCGUUAAGUUGCAGGGUAUAGACCCGAAACCCGGUGAUCUAGCCAUGGGCAGGUUGAAGGUUGGGUAACACUAACUGGAGGACCGAACCGACUAAUGUUGAAAAAUUAGCGGAUGACUUGUGGCUGGGGGUGAAAGGCCAAUCAAACCGGGAGAUAGCUGGUUCUCCCCGAAAGCUAUUUAGGUAGCGCCUCGUGAAUUCAUCUCCGGGGGUAGAGCACUGUUUCGGCAAGGGGGUCAUCCCGACUUACCAACCCGAUGCAAACUGCGAAUACCGGAGAAUGUUAUCACGGGAGACACACGGCGGGUGCUAACGUCCGUCGUGAAGAGGGAAACAACCCAGACCGCCAGCUAAGGUCCCAAAGUCAUGGUUAAGUGGGAAACGAUGUGGGAAGGCCCAGACAGCCGGGAUGUUGGCUUAGAAGCAGCCAUCAUUUAAAGAAAGCGUAAUAGCUCACUGGUCGAGUCGGCCUGCGCGGAAGAUGUAACGGGGCUAAACCAUGCACCGAAGCUGCGGCAGCGACACUAUGUGUUGUUGGGUAGGGGAGCGUUCUGUAAGCCUGUGAAGGUGUGCUGUGAGGCAUGCUGGAGGUAUCAGAAGUGCGAAUGCUGACAUAAGUAACGAUAAAGCGGGUGAAAAGCCCGCUCGCCGGAAGACCAAGGGUUCCUGUCCAACGUUAAUCGGGGCAGGGUGAGUCGACCCCUAAGGCGAGGCCGAAAGGCGUAGUCGAUGGGAAACAGGUUAAUAUUCCUGUACUUGGUGUUACUGCGAAGGGGGGACGGAGAAGGCUAUGUUGGCCGGGCGACGGUUGUCCCGGUUUAAGCGUGUAGGCUGGUUUUCCGGGCAAAUCCGGAAAAUCAAGGCUGAGGCGUGAUGACGAGGCACUACGGUGCUGAAGCAACAAAUGCCCUGCUUCCGGGAAAAGCCUCUAAGCAUCAGGUAACAUCAAAUCGUACCCCAAACCGACACAGGUGGUCAGGUAGAGAAUACCAAGGCGCUUGAGAGAACUCGGGUGAAGGAACUAGGCAAAAUGGUGCCGUAACUUCGGGAGAAGGCACGCUGAUAUGUAGGUGAAGUCCCUUGCGGAUGGAGCUGAAAUCAGUCGAAGAUACCAGCUGGCUGCAACUGUUUAUUAAAAACACAGCACUGUGCAAACACGAAAGUGGACGUAUACGGUGUGACGCCUGCCCGGUGCCGGAAGGUUAAUUGAUGGGGUCAGCGCAAGCGAAGCUCUUGAUCGAAGCCCCGGUAAACGGCGGCCGUAACUAUAACGGUCCUAAGGUAGCGAAAUUCCUUGUCGGGUAAGUUCCGACCUGCACGAAUGGCGUAAUGAUGGCCGGGCUGUCUCCACCCGAGACUCAGUGAAAUUGAACUCGCUGUGAAGAUGCAGUGUACCCGCGGCAAGACGGAAAGACCCCGUGAACCUUUACUAUAGCUUGACACUGAACAUUGAGCCUUGAUGUGUAGGAUAGGUGGGAGGCUUGGAAGUGUGGACGCCAGUCUGCAUGGAGCCGACCUUGAAAUACCACCCUUUAAUGUUUGAUGUUCUAACGUUGACCCGUAAUCCGGGUUGCGGACAGUGUCUGGUGGGUAGUUUGACUGGGGCGGUCUCCUCCUAAAGAGUAACGGAGGAGCACGAAGGUUGGCUAAUCCUGGUCGGACAUCAGGAGGUUAGUGCAAUGGCAUAAGCCAGCUUGACUGCGAGCGUGACGGCGCGAGCAGGUGCGAAAGCAGGUCAUAGUGAUCCGGUGGUUCUGAAUGGAAGGGCCAUCGCUCAACGGAUAAAAGGUACUCCGGGGAUAACAGGCUGAUACCGCCCAAGAGUUCAUAUCGACGGCGGUGUUUGGCACCUCGAUGUCGGCUCAUCACAUCCUGGGGCUGAAGUAGGUCCCAAGGGUAUGGCUGUUCGCCAUUUAAAGUGGUACGCGAGCUGGGUUUAGAACGUCGUGAGACAGUUCGGUCCCUAUCUGCCGUGGGCGCUGGAGAACUGAGGGGGGCUGCUCCUAGUACGAGAGGACCGGAGUGGACGCAUCACUGGUGUUCGGGUUGUCAUGCCAAUGGCACUGCCCGGUAGCUAAAUGCGGAAGAGAUAAGUGCUGAAAGCAUCUAAGCACGAAACUUGCCCCGAGAUGAGUUCUCCCUGACUCCUUGAGAGUCCUGAAGGAACGUUGAAGACGACGACGUUGAUAGGCCGGGUGUGUAAGCGCAGCGAUGCGUUGAGCUAACCGGUACUAAUGAACCGUGAGGCUUAACCUU
rnacentral:rRNA from 1 species